UCCUGGCUUAGGACGAACGCUGGCGGCGUAGCUUAACACAUGCAAGUCGAGCGAUGAAGCUCUUCGGAAGUGGAUUAGCGGCGGACGGGUGAGUAACACGUGGGUAACCUGCCUCAUAGAGGGGAAUAGCCUUCCGAAAGGAAGAUUAAUACCGCAUAAGAUUGUAAUAUCGCAUGAUAUAGCAAUUAAAGGAGUAAUCCGCUAUGAGAUGGACCCCGCGUCGCAUUAGCUAGUUGGUGAGGUAACGGCUCACCAAGGCGACGAUGCGUAGCCGACCUGAGAGGGUGAUCGGCCACAUUGGGACUGAGACACGGCCCAGACUCCUACGGGAGGCAGCAGUGGGGAAUAUUGCACAAUGGGGGAAACCCUGAUGCAAGCAACGCCGCGUGAGUGAUGACGGUCUUCGGAUUGUAAAGCUCUGUCUUCAGGGACGAUAAUGACGGUACCUGAGGAGGAAGCCACGGCUAACUACGUGCCAGCCGCCGC
rnacentral:rRNA from 1 species